rnacentral:piRNA from 1 species
AGCAAAGAGCCUUCAGUGCCAAACUCACCGU